rnacentral:lncRNA from 1 species
UUUCUCUAUCGCAAAUUACGAUGAGUUAAAGAUGUCGCACUACUGAGAUGGUAUUUUGAGCACCACGCAGUCCACGAAAAAGAUAAUUCAGUGAGGUAAACAGUUACUAUUCUUAUCUUCUAGCUUGGACAUAAGGCAAGUACGUGAAGAGCUUGUAGUUAUCAGGCGAAAUAUUCAAGAGACAUGGCAGAAUUACUCGAGACAAACAAGAGAGCCCAGAGGGGACACUGACCUUUAUCCUGGAGACGUUCAGGGAUCUGAGACCACAGUGACUGUAAACAUAAAUACGAGUCAGGCAAAGAAUGAACCAUCAGAGAACUGAUCACGGUUGAAA